AGUAUGAGAUUUAUUCCCCUGCAGUCCAUACAUCCCCAGCCUGCACACCUUCUCAUCCUCCCCUCCAGAUAACACUUAUCUUCUCUGUGGGUCCCUCUCCUGUGCAGACCUGUGUCUUUAGAAUACAGAGCAGGGGGAGGGGAGGAGCUGUGUACUCAGCUGGAUGAGAUGAGGGGGUGUGGCUUAUUCCUCUCAUGCAGACAGGGGAAAAAAAAGCUGUGACAUCUUGUCCACCACAGACUCAGAACUGUGGACAACAGUAAAAGAAAACCCUCUGAACUACAGAAUUUCCUGCCCAACAAACAGCGCUGACAAAGGUUUCUUAAGCUGGUGAAGAUCGUGGAGCAUUUCUGUUGGAAAUGGUACAACUUUACAAGUUAUUUUCCAAUGUGAUUCCAACAUGCAGAAUUACCCAAAAGAGGUAAACAAAAAAUAAAAAGGAAAACUUAUCAGAAAGGGCAUAUAUGUGCUUUUUUUUUUCUUUUUACCAGUUCUAUUUACACGAUAAACUGAAAUGGAAAGUGCCAAUAAAUAAAGAGGAAAAUAUUUGUUUUUUGUUUUUUUAUUCUUUAGCUACUCCAAUAACUGUUCUAUCCCCACACAGUGUUUAUGCACCCUGGCAUAACCAUCUCCUUUACCCUUAUGCUCCCUUUCCUAUUGUGUUGUGUGGCAUUUUAAACUGUUGUGCUCUUCCCAGUAUUAACAUGGGAGACAAGUGUAUUUCUAGUUUCUCAGUACAACAGUAGGUAAUGCCAUCCUUCCUAAGUUUGAUCUAACCAGAGAAAGCUUAAACUAAGCAAGUGCCCUUUACGUUUUCAUUCAAAGUAUUCCCAAACACAAAAUAAAACUGCUGGAAAUUGUAAACAACAAAAAAGGCUUUUUUUUUUUUCUUUUUUCUUUUUUUUUAAGAGGUUUAGCUCUUUUCCA